UACCUGCCGAAUGGCGCCCAUAUGUCUCCCUUAAUAAGUGAGAAGAGAGUAU
rnacentral:sRNA from 1 species